UGUGCCCUGCGGGGUUUGUGAUAGGUCUUUUUUUAACCCACAUUUCGUUAUACGGGAUGCCGGAUCAGCGCGUGGUUCGCAGGCCUCCCGGCUGCUGUCUGCGGCUGGAAGUUGGAAGUGGUAAAGCGCGUUGGAGGCAACCCACCUGGCCGUGAAGGUGCAGGUUAUAACGGGCCUACACGGCUCUCGCGGGGCACGU
rfam:Oscillibacter sp. KLE 1745 genomic scaffold Scaffold73, whole genome shotgun sequence.